GUGGGGAAUAUUGCACAAUGGGCGAAAGCCUGAUGCAGCAACGCCGCGUGAGCGAAGAAGGCCUUUGGGUCGUAAAGCUCUGUCGGAAGGGAAGAAACAAAUGACGGUACCUUCUGAGGAAGCCCCGGCUAACUACGUGCCAGCAGCCGCGGUAAUACGUAGGGGGCAAGCGUUAUCCGGAAUUAUUGGACGUAAAGAGUGCGUAGGUGGUCUUGUAAGCGUGGGGUGAAAGGCAGUGGCUUAACCAUUGUAAGCCCUGCGAACUGUGAGACUUGAGUGCAGGAGAGGAAAGCGGAAUUCCUAGUGUAGCGGUGAAAUGCGUAGAUAUUAGGAGGAACACCAGUGGCGAAGGCGGCUUUCUGGACUGUAACUGACACUGAGGCACGAAAGCGUGGGGAGCAAACAGGAUUAGAAACCCCGGUAGUCC
rnacentral:rRNA from 1 species